rnacentral:rRNA from 1 species
ACAAGCGGUGGAGUAUGUGGUUUAAUUCGAAGCAACGCGAAGAACCUUACCAAGGCUUGACAUCGAUGGGAGACCGCUGAAAGGCGGUUGCUCUUCGGAGCCAGAAGACAGGUGGUGCAUGGCUGUCGUCAGCUCGUGUCGUGAGAUGUUGGGUUAAGUCCCCGCAACGAGCGCAACCCCUACUGCCAGUUGCCAGCAAGUAAAGUUGGGCACUCUGGCGGGACUGCCGGUGACAAACCGGAGGAAGCGGGGAUGAGGUCAAGUCAUCAUGCCCUUUAUGCCUUGGGCUACACACGCACUACAAUGGCCGGUACAGAGGGAGGCGAAGGCGCGAGCCGGAGCGGAUCCCAUAAAGCCGGUCCCAGUUCAGAUCGCAGGCUGAAACCCGCCUGCGUGAAGUCGGAAUCGCUAGUAAUCUCAGGUCAGCAUACUGAGGUGAGUACGUUCCCGGGCCUU